UACGAAGGGGGCUAGCGUUGUUCGGAAUUACUGGGCGUAAAGGGCGCGCAGGCGGCCCUCCAAGUCAGGCGUGAAAGCCCCGGGCUCAACCCGGGAACAGCGCUUGAGACUGGGGGGCUUGAGUUCGGGAGAGGAGAGUGGAAUUCCCAGUGUAGAGGUGAAAUUCGUAGAUAUUGGGAGGAACACCAGUGGCGAAGGCGGCUCACUGGACCGGAACUGACGCUGAGGCGCGAAAGCGUGGGGAGCAAACGGG
rnacentral:rRNA from 1 species